GACGAACGCUGGCGGCGUGCCUAAUACAUGCAAGUAGAACGCACAGUUUAUACCGUAGCUUGCUACACCAUAAACUGUGAGUUGCGAACGGGUGAGUAACGCGUAGGUAACCUGCCUGGUAGCGGGGGAUAACUAUUGGAAACGAUAGCUAAUACCGCAUAAUAUUGAUUAUUGCAUGAUAAUUGAUUGAAAGAUGCUAUUGCAUCACUACCAGAUGGACCUGCGUUGUAUUAGCUAGUAGGUGAGGUAACGGCUCACCUAGGCGACGAUACAUAGCCGACCUGAGAGGGUGAUCGGCCACCCUGGGACUGAGACACGGCCCAGACUCCUACGGGAGGCAGCAGUAGGGAAUCUUCGGCAAUGGACGAAAGUCUGACCGAGCAACGCCGCGUGAGUGAAGAAGGUUUUCGGAUCGUAAAGCUCGGUUGUAAGAGAAGAACGGGUGUGAGAGUGGAAAGUUCACACUGUGACGGUAUGUUACCAGAAAGGGACGGCUAACUACGUG
rnacentral:rRNA from 1 species